rnacentral:misc_RNA from 1 species
AACUUUCAGCAAUGGAUCACUUGGCUCUCGCAUCGAUGAAGAACGCAGCGAAAUGCGUUUAGUAAUGUGUAUUGCCGAAUUCAGUGAAUCAUGGAAUCUUUGAACGCACCUUGCGCUCCUUGGUAUUCUGAGGAGCAUGCCUGUUUGAGUGUCAUUAAUAUAUCAACCUCUACAACUUUUGUUUGUUGAGUUGUUGGAUGUGGGGGCUCUUGCUGGCUUCUUUCUGAGGUCAGCUCCCCUGAAAUACAUUAGCGGAACAAUCCCCGUUCAUUGGUGUCAUAACUAUCUACGCUAUUGACGUGAAGUAGUUUGGCUUAUAACGGUCCAUUGACUUGGACAAAUUUUCAUUAAUGUGACCUCAAAUCAGGUAGGACUACCCGCUGAACUUAAGCAUAUCAAUAAGCGGAGGCU